AAAUAGGAUUAACUGAGUUUUCACACUUCCUCUCUUUUACACUCUGAAACCUCAAAACCUUUGUCGAAUAAACUAAUCACAUAAGCAUUUCACUUGAAUUUUCUUAGAGACGAGGUUUGAGAUAUCUUCAAGUCAUACGCCAUCAUCAAACAUAUGGAAGAAUUGAAAUUUCCGCAUAUGGAAUUCUGCUCAGAUUAUGCAACAGCUGCAGGCUGUCUAGAUAGGGCUGGUCUGGUGCACCGGAAGAAGCCUACCCCUUCGCAGCUUAAAUGCAACAUCUCUUGCUUGUGCUCAAAAUCAGGAGAUAGAGUUUUAAUCAUCAGAGGGAUUAUCAUUAUGUGGUAGAAAAUGAAGAACUGGUGUUUUUGUUUAGUGUGUCUAAAUCAGUCUUCAUAUUUUCCCCGGAGACAAGUUCAUUAAGCUGUUCCAUAUCUCUUGGAAAUUAUUCAGGUACUCAUAUCAUGAUGGAGAUGCCUUUAUUAUCAUUAAAUCUUAAAACUUAAAAAGGAUGUGCUUAAAUUUUGUUGUAAUGUGUUAUUGUACUCUUCGAUCUUUCCCAUCAUCAUGAUUCAUACAGAAAAAGAAAGAAAGAACUUGCACAUGCUAUUGUCAUAAAACAAUUUUUCUUAGUUUAUACCUUUGUAAUUUAGAUGUAAUAGCAAUAAAUGCUGUUAGAAAUUAUGUCA